rnacentral:rRNA from 1 species
UACGUAGGGGGCAAGCGUUGUCCGGAUUUAUUGGGCGUAAAGAGCUUGUAGGCGGUUUGUCGCGUCUGCUGUGAAAAUCCGGGGCUCAACCCCGGACUUGCAGUGGGUACGGGCAGGCUAGAGUGUGGUAGGGGAGACUGGAAUUCCUGGUGUAGCGGUGGAAUGCGCAGAUAUCAGGAGGAACACCGAUGGCGAAGGCAGGUCUCUGGGCCACUACUGACGCUGAGAAGCGAAAGCAUGGGGAGCGAACAGG